rnacentral:rRNA from 1 species
AUUGAACGCUGGCGGCAGGCCUAACACAUGCAAGUCGAACGGUAACAGGAAGAAGCUUGCUUCUUUGCUGACGAGUGGCGGACGGGUGAGUCAUGUCUGGGAAACUGCCUGAUGGAGGGGGAUAACUACUGGAAACGGUAGCUAAUACCGCAUAACGUCGCAAGACCAAAGAGGGGGACCUUCUGGCCUCUUGCCAUCGGAUGUGCCCAGAUGGGAUUAGCUAGUAGGUGGGGUAACGGCUCACCUAGGCGACGAUCCCUAGCUGGUCUGAGAGGAUGACCAGCCACACUGGAACUGAGACACGGUCCAGACUCCUACGGGAGGCAGCAGUGGGGAAUAUUGCACAAUGGGCGCAAGCCUGAUGCAGCCAUGCCGCGUGUAUGAAGAAGGCCUUCGGGUUGUAAAGUACUUUCAGCGGGGAGGAAGGGAGUAAAGUUAAUACCUUUACUCAUUGACGUUACCCGCAGAAGAAGCACCGGCUAACUCCGUG